UAGUCAUAUGCUUGUCCCAAAGAUUAAGCCAUGCAUGUCCAAGUAUAUACCUAUAUACGGUGAAACUGCGAAAGGCUCAUUAUAUCAGUGAUAAUUUGGUUGGUGGAGAAUGCUGUGGAUAACCGUGGUAAUUCUAGAGCUAAUACAUGUGGAGCAGACGGGAGUCUGGCAUUUAUUAGAUAAAGCCUUGGCGGGGGGGGGGUGUAUUCUCUUCCCUGCGCAGGUGAGUAAUGAUAACUGGGCGGAUCGCAAACUAUUUGCGACGCACCAAGGAAAUUUCUGCCCUAUCAACUGUGGAUGGUAGGAUAGGGGCCUACCAUGGUGGCGACGGGUGACGGGGAAUCAGGGUUCGAUUCCGGAAAGGGAGCCUGAAAAAUGGCUACCACUUCCAAGGAAGGCAGCAGGCGCGCAAAUUACCCAAUCCCGAGGCGGGGAGGUAGUGACAGGACAUGACGGGGCGGGGCGCACAGCGCCCUGCGACUGGGUUGAGGAAAAGAUAAAGCGAAUGACGAGAAACGAUUGGAGGGCAAGUCUGGU
rnacentral:rRNA from 1 species